UAAACGAUGGAUGCCCGCUGUUGGCGAUAUAGUGUCAGCGGCCAAGCGAAAGCGUUAAGCAUCCCACCUGGGGAGUACGCCGGCAACGGUGAAACUCAAAGGAAUUGACGGGGGCCCGCACAAGCGGAGGAACAUGUGGUUUAAUUCGAUGAUACGCGAGGAACCUUACCCCGGGCAUUGAACUGCAGGGGAACGAUAGAGAGAUCUUGAGGUCAGCAAUGACCCCUGUGGAGGUGAAAGGAGUGGUGAUCAUCAGCUCGUGCCGUGAGGUGUCGGCUUAAGUGCCAUAACGAGCGCAACCCCUUUCGCCAGUUGCCAUCAGGUGAUGCUGGGCACUACACAGGCGACACUGCCACCGUAAGGUGUGAGGAAGGUGGGGAUGACGUCAAAUCAGCACGGCCCUUACGUCCGGGGCUACACACGUGUUACAAUGGGGUGUACAGAGCGUCGGCGGCCGGCAACGUCCGCCCAAUCGUGAAAGCAUCCCUCAGUGUGCGGAUUGGGGUCUGCAACCCGACCCCAUGAAGCUGGAUUCGCUAGUAAUCGCGCAUCAG
rnacentral:rRNA from 1 species